rnacentral:lncRNA from 1 species
GCCGCAGCAGUCAGUUGUUAAAACUAGACCCCAUUCUCCAAGACGACACUUUAAGGGUUGGUGGAAGACUCAACAAGUCUGCAUGCCAGAAAAUGCUAAACAUCCAGUGAUUCUGUCUAAGCAUAGCAGAGUCGCCACACUGAUUUUAAGAGACAUACACCAAAGAACAGGACACUGUGGACGCAGUUAUGUCUUGGCACAACUUAGACGCAAGUACUGGAUCCCACAGGCCAAUUCUGCGAUCCGAAAGAUAAUCAGCAAAUGUACAACAUGCCGCAGGAUCAAUGGAAAGGUUGGAGAGCAGAAGAUGGCAAGCUUGCCUGAAGAUCGCCUCUUGCCAGACAAACCUCCUUUCACAAACACCGGUGUUGAUUUCUUUGGACCGUUUGAUGUCAGACGGGGCCGGGGUACGGUCAAGAGAUACGGCGUGAUGUUCACUUGUCUCACACUCAGAGCGGUGCACAUUGAAGUUGCAGAUAGCCUUGACACUGACUCUUGCGUUAAUGCAAUUCGACGUUUCAUAAGCAGAAGAGGCCAAGUUACCAUCAUGAGGUCGGAUAAUGGCACUAAUUUUGUGUCCGCUGAAAGAGAACUGAGAGAAGCCAUCCAACAGCUGGAUAACAUCAAGAUUGAAAGAGUCCUGCAACCAAAAGGGAUAAAGUGGAUAUUCAACAGCCCAGCAGCCUCUCACCAAGGUGGGGUUUGGGAAAGACAAAUCCGGACAGUGCGAAGGAUCCUUAAUUCCUUAUUGAAAGAACAGACAGUGAAUGAUGAUUGCCUACACACAAUAAUGUGUGAAGUGGAAAGUAUCAUAAAUGGCAGGCCGCUCACAAGCGUCUCAGAUGAUGUGAACGACGUUGAGCCUCUGACACCGAACCACUUGUUGUUGCUGAAAUGUCAACCUAGCAUACCUCCAGGCAUAUUCAGCAAAGAUGACACAUACACAAGAAGAAGAUGGAAACAAGUCCAAUAUCUCGCGGAUUUAUUCUGGACCAGAUGGACACGUGAGUAUCUUCCACUUCUACAGGAGCGCCAGAAAUGGCUGAAGCCUAGAAGAAACUUCAUGACCGGAGAUGUCGUGCUACUAGUGGACAGUUCCUCUCCACGCAACUCCUGGCUCAUGGGGAAGGUUGUGGAAACAUUGCCAGACUCAAAUGGAACAGUGAGAAGAGUAAAGCUAAAGACUAAAACCAGCACGCUGGAAAGGCCUGUAAACAAGCUGUGCCUAUUGGAAGAGGCAAUAUCAGAAGAGAGAAGAUACUAGUUUAAAAGUUUAUGGACAUUUGAAGUAUUGUGGCUCUUGUUUGUUGUUAUAAUGUUUAAGUUAUAAUUGCUUAGUCCUCCUGCCUAACCAAUUAGGGGCCGGGUAAUGUAAGAGCCAAAUUCAUGAUUUCAUGUGUUAUAAUAAUUUAGUUUAAAAAGAUUUAAAAAGGUAUCUGAAGAUAAAUAACUU